rnacentral:rRNA from 1 species
GGCAGCAGCAGUCGAGAUUCCUACGGGAGGCAGCAGUAGGGAAUCUUAGACAAUGGGGGCAACCCUGAUCUAGCCAUGCCGCGUGUGUGAUGAAGGCCCUAGGGUCGUAAAGCACUUUCGCCAGAGAUGAUAAUGACAGUAUCUGGUAAAGAAACCCCGGCUAACUCCGUGCCAGCAGCCGCGGUAAUACGGAGGGGGUUAGCGUUGUUCGGAAUUACUGGGCGUAAAGCGCACGUAGGCGGAUUAGUAAGUUAGAGGUGAAAUCCCAGGGCUCAACCCUGGAACUGCCUUUAAUACUGCUAGUCUUGAGUUCGAGAGAGGUAAGUGGAAUUCCGAGUGUAGAGGUGAAAUUCGUAGAUAUUCGGAGGAACACCAGUGGCGAAGGCGGCUUACUGGCUCGAUACUGACGCUGAGGUGCGAAAGUGUGGGGAGCAAACAGGAUUAGAUACCCUGGUAGUCCACACCGUAAACGAUGAAUGCCAGACGUCAGCAAGUAUACUUGUUGGUGUCACACCUAACGGAUUAAGCAUUCCGCCUGGGGAGUACGGUCGCAAGAUUAAAACUCAAAGGAAUUGACGG